rnacentral:tRNA from 1 species
GCCGGAGUGGUGAAAUUGGUAGACGCGCUGGACUCAAAAUCCAGUGGGGGCGACCCCGUGUCGGUUCGAGUCCGACCUCCGGCACCA